AUGCAGGGCGUAGAGCAGGAGGACGCGCCGCGGCGGCGGCGGCCGCCGGUCGCCACGGAGGCUCUCCGCGACAGGAUCGUCGAGAAGGUCAAGGAGAACCGCGUCACCCUGAUCGUGGGGGACACCGGAUGCGGGAAGAGCUCUAUGGUUCCCCAGUUCCUCCUAGAAGGAAAUUUGGAACCAAUUAUGUGCACACAGCCUAGGAGGUUUGCAGUAGUAGCUAUUGCUCAAAUGGUGGCUGAAUCUCGCAACUGUCAGGUUGGAGAAGAGGUUGGAUAUCAUAUUGGCCACUCCAAUGUGUCAAAUCUCAAUUCGAAAAGGUCAAAAAUUGUUUUCAAAACAGCUGGUGUUGUACUGGAGCAAAUGCGUGAUAAGGGCCUCGCUGCAUUGAAAUAUAAGGUUAUUAUUCUUGAUGAAAUACACGAAAGGUCCGUCGAAUCUGAUCUUGUACUUGCUUGUGUGAAGCAGUUCAUGAUGAAAAAAAAUGACUUAAGGUUGGUUUUAAUGUCUGCUACCGCUGAUAUCACAAGAUACAAGGAAUACUUUAGAGAUCUUGGAAGGGGUGAAAGGGUUGAAGUGAUUGCCAUUCCAAGCAGUCCUCGAACGCGCAUUUUCCAGAGAGAAGUCCUAUACCUUGAGCAGAUUGCUGAUAUUCUCAAGAUGAAUUCUGAAUCACUCUCAACAAAGUAUUGCUCUGGAGAGGAUGCUGACGCUGAUGCUGGUCUAAACUCUGAUGUGUAUCAACUUAUCCAUGAGUUACUGUUGCACAUACACCGCAGUGAUCCAGACCUUGAAAAUAGUAUUUUGGUUUUCCUUCCUACAUACUAUGCAUUGGAGCAGCAGUGGAUCCGUCUGUCGUCUGUUAGAUCAGUUUUCAAGGUGCACAUUCUUCAUCGUAGCAUUGACACUGAUGAAGCACUUCAAACUAUGAAGGUUUCAAAGUCUUGCCGAAAGGUUAUACUGGCAACAAACAUUGCCGAAUCAUCUGUCACUAUUCCUGGAGUGGCUUAUGUUAUUGAUUCCUGUAGAUCAUUGCAAGUCUAUUGGGAUCCAAUCAGGAAAACAGACUCAGCUGGGCUUGUAUGGGCUUCCAAGUCUCAGACUGAGCAGCGGAAAGGCAGGACAGGCCGUACCUGUGAUGGUCAAAUUUAUUGCCUGGUAACUGGACCAUUUUACAACAGUUUAGAUGAUCAUGAACAUCCUGCCAUUUUAAGGUUAUCGUUGAGAGAGCAAGUGCUCAUGGUUUGCUGUGCAGAGUCAAGAGCUAUGAAUGAUCCUAAUGUUGUGCUGCAAAAAGUUCUCGACCCUCCAAAUUUGGAUGUUAUUCAAGAUGCACUAGACUCACUUGUUCAAAUUCAUGCAUUGGUUAAGCCAACUUCUCCUAGAGGGCGUUACGAGCCCACCUUUUAUGGCUGUUUGCUCAAUAGCUUGCCAUUAUCGUUUGAUGCUUCUGUUCUUGCCCUGAAAUUUGCGGAGAUUGGCUUUCUCCAUGAAGGAAUUCUAAUAGGCAUUAUGUUGGACAUCCAACCACUUCCUAUCCUGCAACCUUUUGGCUAUCAAGCAUUGUGUAAGAUUUUUAGAGACAAUUACUUUGACGAGGAUAGCAACCUGAAAAUUGGCAAGAAGGAAGCUACAUUAAUUGGAAACCUUUGUGCGUUCCAAUUUUGGCAGCGAAUGUUUAAGGACAAGUAUCGUCAAGAGUAUCUGAAAAUGGUGGCUGACACCCAAGAGCCAACAGCAUAUCAUGCCUUUAUCUCUAAACAGGAAGAAGUGUGGUGUGCAUUUCAUAACCUCUUGCCAGCAGCACUUAACAACAUCUCUGAAAUUUAUGAUGAUGUUAUGUGCACACUGCACCGUUUUAGGCCUAGUUUUCUUGUGGAAAUCGAUCCUCCGAAGUACCUUCAGCCUUCUGAAUUCCACCAUGUUUGUCUUCACCAUAAAGUACUAGAGCCAGAGGAUAUGAAUUCACUCUCGCUGGAAUCUGAGAGUUCCCACUUAGGUUCACAGAGGAAGUGUGCUGCAACCCCUUAUGUUUCUGCAACUGAUUUUGGGGUCACUCUCACUGUUGUCGUACUGAAGGCUCUUAUUAAGGAGAUGAAGACACAACUUGCAGAGGACAAGGUAGUUUCUUGUAGGGAACGAGUUAGUGGUUAUGCCCAACAAACUGUUGAAAGUGAGAUGUGUGUGUUCUUUGUACGUGGAUCCUGUACUCGAGGCAACACAUGCCCUUUUUCUCAUUCCGCUCGUGCUCCCAAACCAGUAUGCAAGUUCUUCCUUACAUUACAGGGUUGUAGAAAUGGUAGCUCUUGUUCAUUUUCACAUGAUUGUGGCUCCUUGAACUCGAAAACUUCAUCUAUUACAUCUGGAAUAUGCUCUCAAGAAGACGUACCUACCGCAGUAUGUUGUGCGAAGUUGCUGCCUGCAGGUGGAGAUGGGCAUGUUCUUAUCAUGAAUGACAAAAAUCUUCAGUUCUCCUAUAAAAUUUGCCACUAUUAUGACCCCACUAAGAUAGUUACAUGUACACCUGGUCUGCAUUCAGUGGAGUCUAGUUCAGUGACAAACGGCAUCAUGAUACUCCAGAAUGUGGCUGAUCCUUGUCGUCUGAUUCUUGGUGGUGAACGUAAACUACCAGUUGCUUGGGCAAAGUUACAGCGGGUUUUCUGGUUUGCUGAUUUUGAUUCUGAUGAAUCAAUGAAUGAGAGAGUUCUCCUGCAGAAAUUCUUUGAGCAUAUUGCCAUCAAGACCUUGUCAGAGACAUUGCCUAAUUUGCAGGUUGUCUUGAUCAUGAAUAACACAAAAUUUGUUCACUUGCAGGCUGAAAGAUUGGCGAGGGAAUGCUUCUAUUUUCUGCGUGAAUCAUUUAUGUUUGAUGAAGGGACUCUGGGAUGGUUUUCGGACGCCCCAAGUUAUCCGAAUGGGAUGCAAGUAUCUGCACCAGUCGCUUACGUUUUCAACAUGCAUCCUCCUGCUGGCAUUCAGUUUGGUGACUAUCAAACAGAGCUGCGCAAAGCCUUACGCAGAGCCUAG
rnacentral:rRNA from 1 species